UACGGAGGGUGCAAGCGUUAUCCGGAUUCACUGGGUUUAAAGGGUGCGUAGGUGGGCAGGUAAGUCAGUGGUGAAAUCUCCGGGCUUAACUCGGAAACUGCCAUUGAUACUAUCUUUCUUGAAUACCGUGGAGGUCAGCGGAAUAUGUCAUGUAGCGGUGAAAUGCUUAGAUAUGACAUAGAACACCAAUUGCGAAGGCAGCUGGCUACACAAAUAUUGACACUGAUGCACGAAAGCGUGGGGAUCAAACAGG
rnacentral:rRNA from 1 species